rnacentral:rRNA from 1 species
UACGUAGGGUGCGAGCGUUGUCCGGAAUUAUUGGGCGUAAAGGGCUCGUAGGCGGUUUGUCACGUCGGGAGUGAAAACUCGGGGCUCAACCCCGAGCCUGCUUCCGAUACGGGCAGACUAGAGGUAUGCAGGGGAGAACGGAAUUCCCGGUGUAGCGGUGAAAUGCGCAGAUAUCAGGAGGAACACCGGUGGUGUAGACGGCUCUCUGGACCGUAACUGACGCUGAGGCACGAAAGCGUGGGUAGCAAACAGG